rnacentral:rRNA from 1 species
GACGAACGCUGGCGGCGUGCCUAAUACAUGCAAGUAGAACGCUGAAGAGAGGAGCUUGCUCUUCUUGGAUGAGUUGCGAACGGGUGAGUAACGCGUAGGUAACCUGCCUUGUAGCGGGGGAUAACUAUUGGAAACGAUAGCUAAUACCGCAUAACAAUGGAUGACACAUGUCAUUUAUUUGAAAGGGGCAAUUGCUCCACUACAAGAUGGACCUGCGUUGUAUUAGCUAGUAGGUGAGGUAAUGGCUCACCUAGGCGACGAUACAUAGCCGACCUGAGAGGGUGAUCGGCCACACUGGGACUGAGACACGGCCCAAACUCCUACGGGAGGCAGCAGUAGGGAAUCUUCGGCAAUGGGGGCAACCCUGACCGAGCAACGCCGCGUGAGUGAAGAAGAUUUUCGGAUCGUAAAGCUCUGUUGUAAGUCAAGAACGGGUGUGAGAGUGGAAAGUUCACACUGUGACGGUAGCUUACCAGAAAGGGACGGCUAACUACGUG